rnacentral:rRNA from 1 species
AGUCCAGACUCCUACGGGAGGCAGCAGUGAGGAAUAUUGGUCAAUGGGCGGGAACCUGAACCAGCCAAGUCGCGUGAGGGAAGAAGGUACUGAGUAUUGUAAACCUCUUUUGCCAGGGGACAAAGGCGGCCACGGGUGGCCGUAAGAGGGUACCUGGAGAAAAAGCAUCGGCUAACUCCGUGCCAGCAGCCGCGGUAAUACGGGGGAUGCAAGCGUUAUCCGGAUUUAUUGGGUUUAAAGGGUGCGUAGGCUGUGAGGUAAGUCAGCGGUGAAAUGCCCCCGCUCAACGGGGUGAAGUGCCAUUGAUACUGCCUUGCUGGAAUGCGGAUGCCGUGGGAGGAAUGUGUGGUGUAGCGGUGAAAUGCAUAGAUAUCACACAGAACACCGAUUGCGAAGGCAUCUCACGAAUCCGCGAUUGACGCUGAUGCACGAAAGCGUGGGUAUCAAACAGGAUUAGAUACCCCCGUA